CAAUAGCGUAUAUUAAAGUUGUUGCGGUUAAAAAGCUCGUAGGUGGAUUUCUGCUGAGAACGACCGGUCCGCCCUUUGGGUGUGUAUCUGGCUCUUUCUUGGCAUCUUCUUGGUGAACGUUGCUGCACUUGACUGUGUGGAGCGCUACCCAGGACUUUUACUUUGAGGAAGUUAGAGUGUUUCAAGCAGGCAUACGCCUUGAAUACAUUAGCAUGGAAUAAUAAGAUAGGACCUCGGUUCUAUUUUGUUGGUUUCUAGAGCUGAGGUAAUGAUUAAUAGGGAUAGUUGGGGGCAUUCGUAUUUAACUGUCAGAGGUGAAAUUCUUGGAUUUUGUUAAAGACGGACUACUGCGAAAGCAUUUGCCAAGGAUGUUUNCAUUGA
rnacentral:rRNA from 1 species